GGGGGAAUUUACCGUCGGCGACUACUGCGAUUCAAUGUGAGUGUCCGUACAAGUCGUAUGGAGCCCAUAAAGCAUCAAGCGGGCAAGGUUGCCUCGAGUCGAUCCUGAGCCAGGGCUUGCCACUGCCGGACCAAUGUAGAAGGCUAACUGCACCUGGAUGCAGAUCACGACAGCUGCCUCUCACAUUAUCACCACCUAAUCCGUGUUGGUUCCACCGGUGCUCGAUCGGCGCCACGUGUCCGGCAAAAACCAAGAGGAACGGCGGCAGUGACCCCCGCUCAUAAAUCCGGUCACUCUUCUGGAUCUCCAUCCACCUCUCAAUCCGCUUUGUGUACCCAACCCGUCUCCACUUUGCCAGAUCUAUCACCAUUACUCCAGUGUUGAAGUAGCACGAUUUCCUACCACUAAAAGUACUGGAAAACCUUGUAUUCGACCAGAAACUCGCCGUGAAAUAUUUCGUGAAGUUUGCGUGGCAGUAUUCCGGGGCACCGAUUGUUCUAGAACCCAAAUUCGUAGUCCACAGCUUUGCAAUAUCAUCAACCACAACCAAAUCGGAGUCCAAGUAGAUCACUCUACGAACGCAAGGCUCCAGCAGAUCAGCCAAGUAAUUCCUAGCGUAAUUGAGCGGCUGUUCAAGAGCUUGCCUAACGGAAGUGGAGAUCAGAUUUCGCACAAU
rnacentral:misc_RNA from 1 species